GUCAGAUGUAAGGAUUGUGAGUUACCUCCUCUAUUAGCAAAUUUAACUUGCUUAUUCAUCAACUCAUUCCAAGAGCACCAAUAAGGAAUGGGCCAGGCCCUGUGCUGGGUGCUGGGUUAUCAGAAUGAGUAUGAUGUGGCCCUCAUUCUUGAAGACAGCUCGACCGUGAUGGAGGAGACAGGCAUUUAGAAUAAGCAUGAAAUAAAGGUGGCUGUUAAGGGGUCAGCUCCCCUCACCAAAGUCACUUUUGAUUUACUUACAAAAGUUUUCUUAAGAUUUCUUCAGAACCCAGGUCAAAAGGCUGUGGCAGGAGGCCAGGCAGAUCACAGCGUCCAUGCCUAGAUGCUCCCUGACCCCCAGGAACCAGAAGUGCUGUCUCCUGAAGGCUCUGGAAACCCGGAAUCAGCCUACGAGGCACCAGGGCCACCUUGGAGGGUGGAAAUGAGGACCUCAGGCCCCAGAGGGCAUGCAGGCGAGGUGAAGUUCAGGAGAGAUUUUAAGCCGGGUGCAGUGGCUCACGCCUGUAAUCUCAGCAUUUUGGGAGGCCAAGGCAGAUGGAUAACCUGAGGUCAGGAGUUCGAGACCAGCCUGGCUAACACGGUGAAACCCCGUCUCUACUAAAAAUACAAAAAUUGCCUGGGUGUGGUGGUGCAUGCCUGUAAUCCUAGCUACAUGGAAGGCUGAGGCAGGAGGAUUGCUUGAACCUGAGUGGCAGAGGUUGCAAUGAGCUGAGAUUGUGCCACCGAGCUCCAGCCUGGACUACAAAGUGAGACUCCAUCUCAAAAUAAUAAAUAAAUAAAUAAAUAAAUCUAUCAAUCCAGAUUUUACCAAUUAGGAGACUGAGCCUCAGAGAAGUUAAAUCACUUGUCCAGAGCCCUGAAAUUGGAGAAGCAGCUGCGCUCAGACUGGAACCCUAGAUGGUAGGGCCCCUUAGUCCUCCUUUAUCUUGGGGGGAUCCAGGGAAGGCUUUUCAGCAGGGGAAUGAUGCAAUUGGAUACACAUGUCAGGGGGAACAUGACUGCUUGUGGCAAGGAACGCAGUAAGCCUGGG
rnacentral:lncRNA from 10 species